rnacentral:misc_RNA from 1 species
AGCCCCCCCCCUCCCGGCACCCGCGCCCCCUCCCGCUAGUAGUCACGCACACGAAGACGUACUCGGUGGCGAGAAGACGCCAAAACGAGCGGCGCAGAGGCCCAUUCAGACAUCGAGUCUUGGAAGCCGCACAAGCACCUCUGCUUAUCAUCUCCCAGAGUAUCAUGCACGCGUUCGCUUUAUUUGUUUGUUAGGCUCUUCGCUUCUGCUUCAGACUUCCAAGGACGCCAGCUCACAUCACGCCAGCGGCGUUGAGGCCACAGCGCACCGCCACCUCUUCCAUGCCGCCUCCCGCGCGCCCUCUCGCCUCUCUCCGCAAUUUUUUGUUUCUACUCUGACGCUCGGCCAGCUCUCCCGUUUUGGGUCUUUCGCGAGUUUAUUCGCCUUCGUCGGUGCGGGUCGCUCCUGUCCCUACCCGCGCAGCCCUUCUCUGGCUCUUUGAGCUGUUGCGGAGUCUGUUGCCGUGUGAGAGGGCACGCAUGCGCCCCGGCUGUGAACCUUCUCCAUUCCUCGUUCCGUUUUUUUUUGCUAGCUCGUUCUGCCGUUGUUGACGUGCGCCGACGACCAUCUGCCGGCUUUGCCCUUUGCUGUGUGGCGACGCGCCACAUUUCUUUCUCUCGUUUUUCCGCGGAUUUACUCUUGCACAGCUUCCUGAUUUCGGCCUCUUCUCUCUCGGGCACUCACGUGCCGUAGCCAAUCCUCAUACAACCCAUCUUCCUCACAACGUCGUUGUUCCGUUUCGUCGCUCAUUUCUGUUCUUGUGGUCGUCCGUGCUGCUUGAAUGCGACUUGCAGUGAGGUGCAGGGUGUGCGUCCUACCGGCUUUCCGUCCGUCUUCCGUCGUACCCCAUCGUAACGAGGCACAUGCGCACGCGUUGGUCGGCGCCCAUCUCUUAUAGUCCGCGCUGUGCAAGCGACGUGCUUGCUUCUGCAGCCUUCGCCUGCUCGUCCGCUACCAUUGGUGCUGAAUGCCACCUUGAGGUUCCUUUUCUCUAACUUUUUCUCUUCCAGACUUCCGCCUCUGUACCGUCCUUUCGAGGUGCUGAGGGUGCAUGUGGUAUUUGGACGACACAGAGGGGCUCGCAGGGAUCGGCGGACAACACGCCUCCGCUGACGGGUGGAAUUCAGCGCUGCGUACUCUCAAGACUCCGUCAUACAUCGAUCACCGCUCUUGUUGUAGAGUCGCUGAUGGUGGGUAUGGCGUGCUCUAUGUCUCUGUCGCCUGUGCCGGAGGCGGUGCUCCAGGGGCUCCAGACGCCGGAGUUCAGAAUGCCGUCUCUGGUACUGCCGCAGCACUACGCGCUCGAGUUUCAGCCGGAUGCGCAGCAGCACAGUUUUGUUGGCUCGGUGUACAUAACGAUGCGCGUACUAGAGGCGCCUUCCUUACCUCUUCGCCAUCUUGUCCUUCACGCGCUAGACCUUCGCCUUGAGGCAUCAUCCAUACGCGUCUUUGUUCCCGCCGACCCCUCGAGCGCCUUCGCAGCCGCCGCCCCACCGGCUCACCCGAGCCACCACCUUGGCGACGAGGCCUCGCGGCAACGACCGUUCAGCAUAGAGAAAGGAAGCUAUGUUGCGUGCCAAGGCCUGGACAAGAUCGACAUCAGUGAGACAGUUCUGCUUGCCUUCGCCGCACAUUUACCGAGCAAGUUCGGCGACACCUUCGUGCUCAUUAUUGACCGUUUCGACGGCGUCAUCGCGACGCCGCCGGAAAUGGAAGGGCUCUUCCAUUCCAACUCCACGGAUGCCGCCGUGCUGAGCACGCACCUCGAGCCGACCGGAGCGCGCCGGCUCUACCCCUGCUUUGAUGAACCAGCGAUUCAAGCCACUUUUCAGCUGUCUGUCAUUGCCACCGCCGCGCAGACGGUGCUGUCGAACACGGAAGUGGAGGCGGACAUAAGCGUGGCGGCACUCCCGUACGCCGCGCAGAAGCGACAGGGCACGAGCGAGGACACCAGCAACCGCCGCAGAGAGGCGCCGGAGUCGUCGACGUCCGCCUCCGCAUCAUUGCCGCAGUCGGCGCCGUCGUGGCAUUGCGUGCUAUUUGAGACAACGCCGCGACUGCACACGUGCAUUGUGGGGUUUCACGUCGGCCGCUUCACCUUUCUGGAGCAGCGCUCGCGACGCUCAGGUGUGCUGUGUCGUGUGGUGCUCCCGCACACAGAGGCGAGCAGUGGCGGCUGCUUCGUGCUCGACCUAGCCACCAAAGCCGUCGAUUUUUUCACGAAUUUCUUUCGUGUGCAGCUGCCACUAAAGAAGCUCGAUGUGGUCGGCGUGGAGACGUUUUGCGUGCUUGGCAUGGAGAACUGGGGCAUGGUCAACCUGCUGAAGGAUUACCUUGUCGUGACGGAGACGACUCCGCUGGAGCGCCGGCAGCGCGUGACGCGGCUCAUCGGCCACGAGAUUUGCCACCAGUGGUUUGGCGACUGGGUCACCAUUGAGUGGUGGAACGGUCUAUGGCUGAAGGAAGGCAUGUGCCGCUACCUGGAGUACUUCUUCGUCAACGCCGUCUUCCCUGGCUGGGGUCUGUGGAACGAGUUUCUGUGCAAUAUAAUGAAUAGCGCGCUGCUCGCCGACGCGGACCCGCGCGAGACGCACCCGGUCGACUGCUGCAACCCGGCCCCACGGCGUAUCUACGACUCAUUCGACGCGAUAAGCUACGGCAAGGGGGCGUGCGUGCUGCGGAUGCUCUUCAGCAUCAUUGGCGUGGAGUGGCUGAAGCGUGCAACGCAUCUGCUGAUGGUGCGGUUCGCCGGCCGCGCGAUCAACGCCAAAGACCUCGUUGACUGUAUCGUUGACACGACCAAGGAGCGCUGCAGCAGCGAGGCACAGCUGCAGCACGUCAAGGCGCUUCACGCUUGUCUGAGCAUGGUGGAGACGGUGGGCCACCCCUACCUCUACAUCUACGAGAGGCCGAGCGAGUCCUAUACGAUCACGCAGUACGUGCCUCCUAGCAAGCAGCACGGCCUCCUCGUCGAGUACCUCCAGCAGCAGCGCCGCAAGUCCAACGCACCUGUGAUCGACCUCUUCUCCACCCCGGUCGGUGCAUCGUUUGAGUGGACGCCGGAGUCGACGCUCAGUCGCGUCACUGCAUCCUUCUCGAUCCCACUGCGCACCGUGGAGUGGUCGCCGAGCGGCUGCGCCAACGCCAGUCUCAUCUUUCUCGAAGAGGCAGAGCACCAAUUUGCCUGUCCAACAUCUGCGUCGACGCUGAGGACGACGAGAGACGACACUCCUCUCAUGCAGCCAGUAGCGGCGCCUGGCCACGCCGGCGUUGAAACGGGAGAGAUGCCGGGAUCGGCAGCCUCCCCCGCACCUCAGCAGACUUCGUCGUCGUCGCUUCUCUUUGGGGCUCCGGGCUGCACGCGCUACUUCAACCAAGGUGGCAGCGGCUUCUUUCAGUGCGACUACGACGCAGCGACGUGGCGCCGUCUCUUCGAGCUCGUCGCCUUCUUCUCGGAGGAGGACCGCGUGAUCAUCACGCUGCACUUCAUCAACUUCGCCAAAUCACAGCUCGGCCACCAGCCUGGCGACACCGGCGAUCGCUGCACACUUUUCUUUGAGUGGCUGCUGCGCCUUACCGGCACCUCUGGGGCCAUGAACUCGUUCUUGUGGGAGCUUGUCACCAACGCGCUCACCACGCUGGUGCAGCUGGUGCAGCACUGCUACUGUCACUCGAUCGUGAAGGAGUUUGUGAACACUCUCUACACGCCUCUGCAGCGACGCCGUGUGCUGUCGUUCCUCGCCCAAGAUAAGACGACAUCUUUUCAGAGCUCGAUCCACCUCUCCCGCCAGCUCGUGCUCCGCAUCCUACAACUGUUGUGUCUGUGCGACAAUUCAGCGGUAGUGAAAGAGGCAGAGGAGACGGCGAAGUGGUCACUGAGGGCGCUGCUAUCACCCGGCGACUCGCACGCCCAUCCAUCGAGCAGCAUCUCCAGCAGCACCUGUGGUGCCGCCGCGAACGAAGCGGGCUCCGGCGGCGUCGCAAACCAGAGGAUGGCGAGCGUGUCGGCCGGCCUAGGGCUCCCCUCUGGCUCAGGUGCAGGCGCAGCUUCCCCGCUCUCUACGAAGCUUCCUACUGCCGGAAAUAGCGGCCCGCUGCAGUCAGCGGCAUUGAUUUCCGUCGCGGGGGCGCUGCCAGCUCGCGGCGAGCCGGCGGCGCUCAUGAGCAGAGGGGCAAACUGGUACUCGUGCGGCUCCGUCCCGCUUCCGUCAUCUCCAGUGAAGCUGCUGAGUGUAUCCAACGCGUCGAUUUCGGGGCACGCUGCCUCCUCGGUCAGACGCUCCGUGGCGCCGCUCUCGUGUACCCUAGCGGCCAACCACGGCGGUAGCAGCAAUGUGUUCGCUGCCUCCUACUGCAACCCCGCAGGUGGCGUGGCCGAGCCAUCCAGCGCGAAGAGCACGAGCUGGCACAGCUACCCGGACCAAUGCGCCGGCGACUUCGACCUCGAGGACGCAAGCCACAUCCAGGCCGGCUCAAUCGCGCUGUCGCACCUCGUCACGCAGGGCCGGCUGGAGUACUGGGUGGCAGCCGCCGCUGUCGCGGUGGAGUUAUUGCGGCUGGACCGUGACGAGCUGCGCCGUGUGAGCGGGAUGCCGGUCCCGACCCCACGAAUGGUGAAUGUGAGUCAGGCGCACCGGCGCAGCAUCCUGCGGCUUGUUCUUCCCGCGGUGUUCGCGCUCGACCAGGAGUCGGCCUUCCCGCUCAUGACAAAAGUGUUCCAUGCCGCGCCGUUUCUGGAGUCGUCUAGUGUGAUGGGGCUCUACCGCAACUCGCGCUUCUUCUUCAACCUGCUGUCAAGCCGCCGCCUUGUGACGGACCGGCGCACCUUAGAGUUUCUUCUCCGCUACGGCGCUGAGGUGUGCGGGAACGGCUACAUCAUCGCACAGCUGAAGCUGCUGGCGCAGGGUGGCCCAUCGGCGCACAGCGCUGCCCGCAUCAGGGGUGUGGAGCAGUACAAAGGCGUCGAGUUCGCCGACAGCGUGCAACCAACGGACUCGUCAUCGUCCACGAAAUUGCCUGCAAAUGUCUCCUCUCCGCUGUCCUCUUCGAGCAGUGCGGCUGUGUCAGAGCGAAGCGCGCUGCGCAAGCAAUGUCCUGCGGUGGCGGCAGCGUUGGAUUGUAUGGAGUCCAACUGCGUCUGGAUGGGCUACUGCUGCAGCCACUACGACCAGUUUCUGCGUGAGCAGCUUCACCGAAGGUCGUGGCAGGCGGUGCACGAUGAGAGCAGUGCGGCGGUGCAGUUGCCCACACCCUUGGGGAACGAGAGCUGCACCCACUCCGAAUCCUGCGGCGGUGUCAGCAUCUGAGCUGAGGAGCGCAGAAGGAAGUAGAAGGAAGCACAGACGGGCGGUGAAAUAAAAAAAACGAAAAACGGUUGGCAGGGAGGCAGAGAACGCUUAGUGUGCCCGUGCGCUUACAUUUUGAGCUCCUGCUGUUCUGCUUUGCGGGCGGAGGUGGUAGCAGCGUCUAUUCCCGCAAGUGAGCUUGUGUGCUUCGAUUGUCAUGUAUGUCGAUGCACGUAGUAUGUGCGUAAGCAUAUGCACCCGUCUCUCUCGCCUUCUCUGUGAAUACGGAAGUGCACGUGCAGAGAGAGAGAGCACGGGAAGUUAUCAAGCCGUGCACAACAAGACACAUACCAUCGACGGACAUGCACCUCGACAGGAAAGCACACCAGGAGGGAGGGUACACACUGCUGCUUACCACUCCUCCCCUUCUCGCGCCAUCAGUUCGGCGGUAAGGCGGGCGCAUUUGCAUGCGCGAGCGCAUGCUCAUGCUCGUGCAGCAGUCCUUUGCGGGCGGCAUCGCCGCUCUGCUCAUCCCACGAAUAGCUUCCCUUCUCUCCCGAGUGCCGAGAGACGAAGAAACAGCCGCCGUGGUGGAAAGCAAAGGCAGAGAAAGUGAACAAGAGAGAGAGCGUCUUCUGGAUCGCGCAGUCGCACCGAGGAAGAGCAGCACGCUUCUCUCGGUAGCCCGUCGCCCGCGCCUCCCCCCACGAGGCAACCAUAGGCCUCACCGUCUGCUGCUCGAACUGCACCCCUGCGUUCCGUGCACUAGAACCGCUGCUACAACUGACACGCUACUCUGUUCUGCAUCCUUCCCGUUUCUCUCGCCCUCUCUGUCCUCUCCUGUGUGUGUGCGCGCGGGCGGGUCUGGCCACCACACUCCUGGCAUGGCGAACCAACACCCAUCGACGCCCAUCACAUGUGGUCCGAUUUAACCCUCCCUCCUGUGCUGUUUCGGAUCACCGAUCAUGCAG